GCAACCAAGGACAGGAAGGCCAUCGGUGG
rnacentral:piRNA from 1 species